UACUGCAGCUUUUCUCACGCUCGGAGGUGCAAUGAAAACUGACCACUUCUCUAAUGACUUCCAUCUGGGCUGAGACAUGGAGAGCCAGCUGCCUCUCGGAGAUCAUCACUUGGAUAAGGAGCUUAAACUACACCCUGUCCUUCAUAAGCCUGUGUCUACCUCUCGGACUUCACAUCAAAAGAGGGCUUGCUAUUUGCCACACAAUGAAAAAAAAAAAAAAAGUUGAAAUGCACGAUCUCAUUUAACCCUCGUGAUAACCAAUCACAUGAGAUGUUUACUAUCUUUGAUGAAGAAAUUAAGUCUUAGAGCAGUUCCCUAAGCUCCAUGAGAUUAGAGACUGCCUUGUUCUGCUGGUGCUUCAACUUGAUGGGUGUGCAACACAAGCAGAUACUGAAUAAAUUCAUUCUAAACCGCUAAAACA
rnacentral:lncRNA from 1 species